rnacentral:rRNA from 1 species
CAGUAGCCGCGGGAACACGGAGGGUGCAAGCGUUAAUCGGAAUUACUGGGCGUAAAGCGUGCGUAGGCGGUUUGUUAAGUCUGUUGUGAAAGCCCCCGGCUCAACCGGGGAGGGUCAUUGGAAACUGGGAAACUUGAGUGCAGAAGAGGAGAGUGGAAUUCCACGUGUAGCGGUGAAAUGCGUAGAGAUGUGGAGGAACACCUGAGGUGAAGACGGGUUGCUGGGCUGAUACUGACGCUGAGGCGCGAAAGCUAGGGUAGCAAACGGGAUUAGAUACCCCGGUAGUCCCUGUCUCUUAUAC